GAUGAACGCUGGCGGCGUGCUUAAUACAUGCAAGUCGAACGAACAGACGAGGCGCUUGCUCCUCUGACGUUAGCGGAGGACGGGUGAGUAACACGUGGAUACCCUACCUAUAAUACUGGGAUAACUUCGGGACACCGGCUCAUAUACCGGAUAAUAUCUUGCACCGCAUGGGUGAAUGGUGAAAGACGGUUUUGCUGUCUCUUAUAGAUGGAUACGCGCCGCAUUGGCUAGUUGGUAAGGUAAAGGCCUAUCAAGGCAACGAUGCGUAGCCGACGUGAGGGGGGGGUCGCCCACAUGGGAGCGGGGACGCGGACCAGGGGACUACGGGAGGGAGCAGAAGGGAAUGGGACGCAAUGGGGGGAAGCCUGACGGAGCAAGGCCGCGUGAGUGACGAAGGUCUUCGGAUCGUAAAACCGUGUUACUAGUUAAGAACAGAUGUGGAAUUAACUGUGGACGGCUUGACGGUAACGGAUCAGAAAGCCACGGCUAACUACGUG
rnacentral:rRNA from 1 species